rnacentral:lncRNA from 1 species
UUUUUUUUUUUUUCAAGAGGGAUCACUGCUCUCUGCCUCAUAGGUGGAAAACAUAGGACAACAUUAAUACGAUUUUUAGGAAGCACUGUGCACAAAGAUACCAGAGGGGGGAAACAGGAAAAUAAAUAAGUCAUAAUAAUAAUUAAUUUUCUUAGAUUCUAAUCAUGUACUGCUUUAAUGCUUUAUUAAAGCAUGUACUACUUUUAAUGCUAUUAUUUUAUGAAUAUAAACUUAUUAAAAUAACGUGACAUCCUUAUGAAGUAGUUGCAUCACUUUACAAGAGGAUAACGAGAUUUAGAAUUUAAUCUUCAAAUAGAGAUUCAGGCAUCCUACCACAUUUACACAUGGGGUGUUAAAGGAUCCAAAGGAAGGAUGUGAAGCAUAAAGGCAGUUUCUACCAUAAUCACAGUUCAACACCGGCUUGGCUGAGGAGGUGAAAUUUAAGAGUUGUCUAAUUUUAUUCAUUCCACAAAUAUUUUUUGAGAAUUGCUAUGUGCUAAAUACAUUAAUUGUUCUGGAAUCCAAAGUUAAACAAGAUUGAAUUUCCUCCGUGAAAAUAUAUGGUAAUUAUAAUUAAUUAUUGCUCAAGUAGUGUAUAAUAGAAAGAACAUAUUGUAGAGAUACAAUAUUAUGGAAGUGAUGGAUAGUUUGUGUUAUAAGAUUGGUUUCUAAAAAUUGCAUAGAAAUCUGAGGGCCUAGCACUCCAUUCUGCCUUAUGGGGCUAAGAAUGGAAGUGGAUAGGGAGAUAUGUUUAAGUUUAGGAUUAAAAAUUAAGUAGGAGUUUUUCAAGGCAAAAAGAGAAACCAUGGAGGAAACAUGUAAAAAGAAUACGAUGCGUGAAGGCACAGAAAGGUUAGUCUCAGAGUUGAGAAGCAAUCUGGCUAGAGCACAGCAUGGAAUGUGUUAUAAGGUAAAUGGCAACUGGUGUGACUGGUAUGGUAAUUUUGUUUACAUUGAGAAAGACCUUAUGUAGCAUGAUUACAUGAACUUAUCACAUAACUCUACGUGAUCCUGCUUAAUUUAGCAAGAUAACUCUGCAGGUACUUGGAAAAUAUAAUAGAAAUGAUUAGAAUUUAAAGUCAGGGAGACCAGUUCAGUUGUUUUAUAAAUCAGUAGUGUGAAAGAACUGAAGUACUGUCAGUGCAAAAGGAGGUAGAAAUUCCAGAGACUGCAUGGUGAUAGAAUUGUCAUGACUGGAAAUCAGUUGGAUAUAGCAAUGAGGAAGAGUGAUUAAGCUAAAGGCUUAUAAAUAUAGAGAGCUUCCAAGUGCAGGACUCAAACAUUUUACAAGUUUUAACUUAUUUAAGAAGGCCUUGAGUUUUGAACCUGGAUAAUUGAAUGAUGAUUCCCAUUUCACAUGUAGAGGAUAAAGAAGAGGGGGAGAAUACUGAGGGCAGUGGGAGAUAAUAUGUUUGCUUUUGGAAAUAUUUGAGAAGUCUACAUAUCCUUUGGGUGGUGAUGUCUAUCAUGCUGUUGGUGACAUAGAUUCCACACUGAAGAGAGAGGUCAGGGCUGGAGAUAUAUAUUUAUGGCUCUUACUGUCCAUGCAUCAAUGGGGCUUUGUAGAACAAGAAGAGGAGAGAGUAAAAGUUGGAAUUCUUGGAACACAAAUACAUAAGGAAAAGGAGAGAAGAUAAAACGUAAAGAUGAGCAAAAUGAAGUAGAGGGAAAAUCAGGAGGAAAAAAGUAAAAAAGGAGAAAGUUUAAAGAAAGAUAUUGCAGUAAAAAAUGCCAAGUUUUGCAUUUAAUCUAAAUAGGAGGUGAACCGAAAGUAAAAAUUUGGGAAUUAGAAAAUGAGUGGUAAAUUCUAGGAGUCCAUUUCAGUUGCAUUAAGUGUGACAAAGUGAAUGAGAAGUCAGGAAAGAGGCCAAAUGGACUGUCACCUUGAGAAUUUUGACGCAGCAGCGGUUGGAGCUGGAGGGUAAGGAUGACGGUAUUAUUAAGGUUUUGAAAAAAAUGAAAAACCACUUUAACAUAUAAACAGAGCAAAAGGGGCCACUAAGGAUGGAGAAGCUACGGUACAAGGUAGUGAUGGAAGGUCAGCAGGAUGCAGAGUGAUUAUUGAUGGAGUGUAGUCCUAGGGGAGACCACAAAGUGAGAGAAUAAGUUUAUGUAACAAAUGUAAUAUUUCACAUGUUUAUGGCCUCAGUGUUUGGAGUCAAGCAGCUCAGUUUGAAUUCUGACUCUCCCACUUAUCAAUUGUGUGAACCAAGAAGUUACUAAACCUUUAUGUGCCUUGGUUUCCUAUCUGUCAAAGGCAAACUAGUAGUACCCCCUCCCCUCAUCCCCAGUGUUUCUGGGAGGAUCAAAUGAGAUAAGGCUUGUGAGAAUAGGACACACUACUAUUGGGUAAGUGUCCUCCAAAAACUAACUGCUAUAUUCAAGAGAUAAGUGUAAGGUGCCAUCGUGGAAAGAAGGAGAAUCACUAGUCUUUGUGAUAAAGCAAAAAAAGGGAACAAAAAUGACAAAGGUCACCUAAUAAUGAACCUAUAUUCUAAAUACACAUGGGAUAUUCUUUUAUUCUUUUUAUAUUGCUUAUAAAAUAACUUUUAAAUGUUCCAUAUCUCUAAGGAAUAUUAACAGUUAUUCAUUGCUAAGGGAAAUAAAUAUUUUUCUUUUAAUUCAGAGGAACACUAAACACAAUUACUUAAUUUCAAAGUUUUUGAGUCUUUGUCUAGAUAUGGUUCAAGGUACAGACAUCAGGAAUCAUGACCAACUCUUUCUAUUAACUACAUAGAAAUGUAUGAUACUAACAUUUCAGGGUUUUACUUCAUCUCCCUAUCUGCAAACUGCAGUGAUAUACUCUGCGAAUGAUUUCUCUGCUUUGCAUGGUCCUUGUUCUUCUGUAUGGAUAUUCUUGGCAUUUUAAUAGGGAAAAAAAGGUAAUUUCAGAAUGAACAUGACUUGAAAAGGACUGCCCAUUCCUAAGAAAAAUAGAUACCAGGAUAUUUCCUUUUGUUGUUAACAAACACUGCCUACUUGUUUUAUUUUUAACUACUUUGUUCUCACUCUCAUGAAGACUACAUGGAAGUCAGAGUAAUCUGUUCUCUUAUUUUGACUCUUCUUUUAGAGGAUUUUAUAAGAAAAUUAUAUAUGAUAGAGUCAAGCUUUGCAUUCUUCCAUUAUAUUGAGCAUUUAUAAAGGAAUAAUUCAGCAAUGAUACAUACCAUUGUGGUUGUAUAUUAUGUAGGUAAUGGGUAGUCUGUGUUUCAAAGUGAUUUUUACAACUAUUAUCUUAUGUCGUCCAUGCAAGAACAAAAUACAUUGUGGCUAUAUUUCAGGUGAGAAACCUGACAUGAAGAAAGCAAAGAAAAUUUCCCCUAAGUCAGAUAGCAAGGUUAGAAAUGCUAAACUGUUAAAAGCUGCAUUGUUCACAUUGUAAAAAGCUAUUCUUAAGCUAUAUUUGAGAGCUUUUGUAAAGAUUUACUCUUCCAUGAAAUCAUUGAAGAAAAGGAUAAACAGAACAAAUUCUCACUUUUUCUCUUUGUUUCUUUCAACAGCAUUCUAACAUCUAUGAAACUGCUUAUAUUUAAAAUACAAUCUACAUGCAGAAGAAUGACUUCCAUUUAGAGAAAGCAAUGAUUCAAUGAUCUAGGAAGUUUCCU